CCUACGGGUGGCUGCAGUGGGGAAUAUUGCGCAAUGGGCGAAAGCCUGACGCAGCGACGCCGCGUGAGGGAUGAAGGUCUUCGGAUCGUAAACCUCUGUCAGCAGGGAAGAACGGUCACUGUGCUAAUCAGCAGUGAAUUGACGGUACCUGCAAAGGAAGCACCGGCUAACUCCGUGCCAGCAGCCGCGGUAAUACGGAGGGUGCGAGCGUUAAUCGGAGUUACUGGGCGUAAAGCGCUCGUAGGCGGUAUGUCAAGUCAAGGGUGAAAUCCCCGCGCUCAACGUGGGAACUGCCUUUGAUACUGGCAAACUGGAGUGUGUGAGAGGAUAGUGGAAUUGCAGGUGUAGGAGUGAAAUGCGUAGAGAUCUGGAGGAACAUCAGUGGCGAAGGCGACUAUCUGGCCCAUAACUGACGCUGAGGAGCGAAAGCGUGGGUAGCAAACAGGAUUAGAUACCCUAGUAGUC
rnacentral:rRNA from 1 species